AUGGAUGAGCACAGCUCGCAGUCCGCCAGCUGUGGCGACCAUGGUGAUGGCGGCGGCAACGACGGUCUGGGCGCAGCAGCCGCUGGGUCUGAUUCCGACUUCGACGGGUCGUCCUCAAGCGCUGUUCCUGCAGAUCCACCCAACCCAACAUCACGCAUCUCCGUGAAGCAUGCAGUGUGUGUGAUCCGGAAGUUUGACGACUACAAGAAGUGGUUGGUGGAGCAGAUUGGAUUUGGCGGUAUGCUGAAGCUGCCAGCCCUGCAGAAGUUGAGUCUGAAGUCGAGCGCUUGGAUUAUGAGUAGAGUUAGCGUCAGCCGCCGGGAGAUCAAGCUGAGGGACAACAAGGUUCUGAUUUUUUUUGCUGAGGAUGUACACAAGGUUUUUGGGAUUCCAUGUGGACAUCGUAGUGUCAAGGGCAGGGAUGCAAGCAUAAAUCCUGAGGCUGUGCAAUUCAUAAAGACAACUCUCCAGAUGAACAGAACCGGUGUUCAUAGUUUGAAGGCAGCUGAAGAUUUUUUGAUGCGCGACAUCAAUGAGAAUUCAAGCAAGUUAGAGAAAGAUUGUUUCCAGAUUGCCUUCGUGAUAUUUGUAAUGGGUCAUGUGCUAGUUCCAUCAACGAAGCACAACUACACGACCAUCGACUUCUGGGGAGCGGUGGCUAGCACUGAGUCCAUAGACCAGUUCAAUUGGUGCGAGUAUGUGCUUCAGCACCUCCUUGACGCAGUCACUAAGCUGAAGAAAGAUAUGUUGGCCAACAAUUUGUCGACCAAUUUAACGGGUUGCCACCUUUUCUUCCAGGUCUUUCUCAUCGACAACCUUGAUCUAGGUGUCUGUAACAAGUCGCACAACGUGCUCCCCAGAAUUGCUGACUUCGACCCCGAGUCGUUCCGUCGAAUGCUCACCAUGGCUGUUGACCCGAUCAAGGGCACUACUUCGUACUCGCAUGCCAAUCUGAGAGAUGCAUCGUCAGUUUGUUAUACGAGACAGAAGUUUCCGCAUUCAGCUCCGUCUUUCGCAACCACCAGUAGGCUUUCAAGGCGGCGUGGAACCCCGGCGGCAGGACACACGAGGAGCACUCCACCCCUAUUGUGUGGUAAUGCAGGCCGCCAAGCUAACCUGAGCGGUCGAACACCAACCGACGGCGCUCCCGGGGCACUUGACUUUGCAAGAUAUCUGCGGGAGAAGUAUCCACACCUAGUACAAGACGAGUUGACUAUGAUUUUAAAACAGCACAACGCGAUGGCCCUCAUGCAUCUAAAUCAAGCAAGCAACUCAAUCCAGCAGGCUUUGUUGCAAGCCAAAAAUGGGCUACAAAUGGACAUGUACAAGUUUUCAGACAAAGUGGUUAACUCAGUCACAAGGCGUUGUGUGUGUUGCCGCGCACGGGGCUUUACUGAGUGUCCGGAGCCAGCGGCUCCAACGAAUUCCAAGUCGGUUCGGUUCAGGACACCUGUGGCAGAAAGAAUUCAGGGACAAAGGCUUGACCUAUCUGGUUGUGAAGCGACAUCGCCUGUUGCACCAGCUGGGCUAUUGCGGAAACGCAUCUUCAACGCAGAGGAUUCUAACUCUACCAGCAAGAAAUCGACACCAGGGUCAUCUCACAAUCUGUUCAAUUACUUCAAGUCAUGCUUAAUGUCAAUCGCUGAAAUGUAUGCAGACCUCCCAGCCAACACGCCUUUAACUGUGUUCGGACAACGUUGCACUAAUCUAGAGAGGCGGAAAUACAUAUUCUAG
rnacentral:rRNA from 1 species